GUCGGGCACGGGGGCGCACGCCUGUAAUCCAGGCAACUUGGGAGGCUGAGGUGGGAGGAUCAAGCGUUCAAAGCCAGCCUCAGCAAAAGCGAGAUGCUAAGCAACUCAGUGAGACCCUGUCUCUA
rnacentral:sRNA from 1 species